GUCGUGAGAUGUUGGGUUAAGUCCCGCAACGAGCGCAACCCCCGCCCCGUGUUGCUAACAGAGCGCAAGCUGCUGAGGACUCUCGGGGGACUGCCGGUGCCAAACCGGAGGAAGGUGGGGACGACGUCAAGUCAUCAUGGUCCUUACGUCUAGGGCUACACACGUGCUACAAUGGCCGGUACAAUGGGUUGCGAGCCAGUAAUGGCAAGCCAAUCCCGUGAAAGCCGGUCUCAGUGCGGAUUGGGGGCUGCAACCCGCCCUCAUGGAGCUGGAAUCGCUAGUAAUCGUGGAUCAGCCACGCCACGGUGAAUACGUUCCCGGGCCUUGUACACACCGCCCGUCACGCCAUGGAAGCUGUGAGCGCCCGAAGUCCGUGUCGCAACCCGCAAGGGGGCAAGCGGCCGAAGGCGAGCGCAGUGACUGGGGCGAAGUCGUAACAAGGUAGCCGUAGGGGAACCUGCGGCUGGAUCACCUCCUUAACGGAUUGCGAGUAAGUCGUGUGCGUAAGCGUGCGACCGAAAACAUCUCGUAAGUCGCCGUCUCGGCAUCCACUUCCCAAUAUCGGUUCUCUAUAAAGUCAAACGCGACGCCAAGGCGGGUCGCGUUUGCAGUCUUACCAAGUCUUGUCUCUGACAAGCAGAGCUCGUGCUGUUUGACAACGGAAGUUGUGGUAGAUCGUGGGAUUAACGAAUCCGAUUCGAGAUUUGACGUUUCGUAAGCGUUUUUUUGAGUUCAAACGUCACUCGUAUUUUGUUUUGAUCAAUGCGCGUGCUUUGCUAGACAGUUUUUGUAGUCAAGCAAACGAGAGCGUGCGGGGGAUGCCUGGGUAUACGGAGGCGAUGAAGGCCGCGGUAAGCUGCGAAAAGCCGGGGGGAGGCGCACACAGCCAGUGAGCCCCGGAUUG
rnacentral:sRNA from 1 species